CAUGCACCAGUGGGGUCCCUCGGUCUGGCCUGCGGGAUCGGGCUGAAAUCGGCUCUCUGACAUCCUCCGAGGAGUCAGAUUGCGAGAGGGCACAGGCCAGGCCGAGGGACCCCACUGGUGCAUG
rfam:Myotis brandtii contig227624, whole genome shotgun sequence.